UAAUGCUAGUGGAUGAGAAGC
ensembl:piRNA 21ur-310 ncRNA